rnacentral:sRNA from 12 species
AAUCGGUUCUACGGCACAGCCGACGUGUCGGCAAUCGCAGUGACCGAGGGAGAUGCGCCACGCUCAUAGAGUGAAAAAUCAAUGUGGUGGGUAGAGUUUGGUAGGUCCUUCAUGGAUUCGAAGAAGUCAGACCCC